UAAGGAAUAUUGGACAAUGGCCGGAAGGCUGAUCCAGCCAUGCCGCGUGGAGGACGAAGGCGCUCAGCGUUGUAAACUCCUUUUGGACGGGGACAAACCGCUCGACUUGUCGGGCGCUGAGGGUACCGUCAGAAUAAGCACCGGCUAACUCCGUGCCAGCAGCCGCGGUAAUACGGAGGGUGCGAGCGUUAUCCGGAAUCACUGGGUUUAAAGGGUGCGCAGGCGGCGGGGUAAGUCAGUCGUGAAAUCA
rnacentral:rRNA from 1 species